rnacentral:rRNA from 1 species
CUAGCGACAGGCCUAACACAUGCAAGUCAGGGGCAGCACAAGGAGCAAUCUGAGGUGGCGACCGGCGCACGGGUGAGUAACACGUAUGCAACCUGCCUGUAAGCGGGGAAUAACCCGUUGAAAGACGGACUAAUACCGCAUAAUACUAAAUUACUGCAUGGUAAUUUAUUUAAACAUUUAUGGCUUACAGAUGGGCAUGCGCAUGAUUAGCUAGCUGGAGAGGUAACGGCUCCCCAAGGCAACGAUCAUUAGGGGUUCUGAGAGGAAGGUCCCCCACACUGGUACUGAGACACGGACCAGACUCCUACGGGAGGCAGCAGUGAGGAAUAUUGGUCAAUGGACGAGAGUCCGAACCAGCCAAGUCGCGUGCAGGAAGAAUGUCCUAAUGGAUUGUAAACUGCUUUUGCAGGGGAAUAAAGUGCAUCACGUGUGAUGUUUUGUAUGUACUCUGCGAAUAAGGAUCGGCUAACUCCGUGCCAGCAGCUGC